GGAGAGGUGGCCGAGUGGUUGAAGGCGCACGCCUGGAAAGUGUGUAUACGGCAACGUAUCGAGGGUUCGAAUCCCUCUCUCUCCGCCA
rnacentral:tRNA from 10 species